rnacentral:tRNA from 1 species
GGAGAGGUGGCAGAGUGGUUGAAUGCGGCGCACUCGAAAUGCGUUAUGCCUUUGUAGGUAUCGGGGGUUCGAAUCCCCCCCUCUCCG